rnacentral:rRNA from 2 species
UUAAGUGACUAAGCGUACACGGUGGAUGCCUAGGCAGUCAGAGGCGAUGAAGGACGUACUAACUUGCGAUAAGCGCAGAUAAGGCAGUAAGAGCCGUUUGAGUCUGCGAUUUCCGAAUGGGGAAACCCAACUGCACAAGCAGUUACUGUUAACUGAAUACAUAGGUUAACAGAGCAAACCGGGGGAACUGAAACAUCUAAGUACCCCGAGGAGAAGAAAUCAACCGAGAUUCCGGUAGUAGCGGCGAGCGAACCUGGAUUAGCCCUUAAGCACUCGUUGAAGUAGGUGAACAAGCUGGAAAGCUUGGCGAUACAGGGUGAUAGCCCCGUAACCGACGCUUCAUCGAGCGUGAAAUCGAGUAGGGCGGGACACGUGAUAUCCUGUCUGAAUAUGGGGGGACCAUCCUCCAAGGCUAAAUACUCCUGACUGACCGAUAGUGAACCAGUACCGUGAGGGAAAGGCGAAAAGAACCCCUGUGAGGGGAGUGAAAUAGAACCUGAAACCGUGUACGUACAAGCAGUAGGAGCACCUUCGUGGUGUGACUGCGUACCUUUUGUAUAAUGGGUCAGCGACUUAUAUUCAGUGGCAAGGUUAACCGUAUAGGGGAGCCGUAGCGAAAGCGAGUCUUAACUGGGCGCUCAGUCUCUGGAUAUAGACCCGAAACCGGGUGAUCUAGCCAUGGGCAGGUUGAAGGUUGAGUAACAUCAACUGGAGGACCGAACCGACUAAUGUUGAAAAAUUAGCGGAUGACUUGUGGCUAGGGGUGAAAGGCCAAUCAAACUCGGAGAUAGCUGGUUCUCCCCGAAAGCUAUUUAGGUAGCGCCUCGGACGAAUACUACUGGGGGUAGAGCACUGUUAAGGCUAGGGGGUCAUCCCGACUUACCAACCCUUUGCAAACUCCGAAUACCAGUAAGUACUAUCCGGGAGACACACGGCGGGUGCUAACGUCCGUCGUGGAGAGGGAAACAACCCAGACCGCCAGCUAAGGUCCCAAAGUAUUGCUAAGUGGGAAACGAUGUGGGAAGGCUCAGACAGCUAGGAUGUUGGCUUAGAAGCAGCCAUCAUUUAAAGAAAGCGUAAUAGCUCACUAGUCGAGUCGGCCUGCGCGGAAGAUGUAACGGGGCUAAGCAAUACACCGAAGCUGCGGCAAUGUCUUUUAGACAUUGGGUAGGGGAGCGUUCUGUAAGCCGUUGAAGGUGGUCUGUAAGGGCUGCUGGAGG